rnacentral:rRNA from 1 species
GAUGAACGCUGGCGGCGUGCCUAAUACAUGCAAGUCGAGCGAACGGACGAGAAGCUUGCUUCUCUGAUGUUAGCGGCGGACGGGUGAGUAACACGUGGAUAACCUACCUAUAAGACUGGGAUAACUUCGGGAAACCGGAGCUAAUACCGGAUAAUAUUUUGAACCGCAUGGUUCAAAAGUGAAAGACGGUCUUGCUGUCACUUAUAGAUGGAUCCGCGCUGCAUUAGCUAGUUGGUAAGGUAACGGCUUACCUAGGCAACGAUGCAUAGCCGAACUGAGAGGGUGAGCCGCCAGCCUGAGACUGAGACACGGCCCAGGCGACUACGGGAGGCAGCAGGAGGGAAUCUUUGGCAAUGGACGAAAGUCCGAACGAGGAACGCCGAGGGAGUGAAGAAGGUUUUCGGAACGGAAAGCUCGGUUGUAAGAGAAGAACGGGUGUGAGAGUGGAAAGUUCACAAUGUGACGGUAUCUUACCAGAAAGAGACGGCUAACUACGUG